rnacentral:lncRNA from 1 species
AUUGGGGGAUCUCGCUAAGACCUCUUAGUGAAGGGUUUUGUCCAUGCUAGUCCUCUUUAGUCUCAUUAAUGUUAGUCCCAGCAUGAAACAAACACAAUAUUGGACUAACAGCUAGUCCAGUCCCACUUAGUGAGGGGAAACAAACGCCCCCUUGACGUUUUCACUUUUCUACUGGGCGGCGACUUGUCGUGGAUUCAUGCAGUUUUGUUUUAAGUGAGAGCGAUGACGCAUAAAUGAACAUAGUUGUUUUUGUCUACCUUCACGAGAUUAUGCGGCUGUGUUUUUGUCAAAACUCCAAGAGCCACACCAAAUGAGAAAAAAUAUAUUUUCUGAUGGUUGGUGGUUGCGGUUUUGUUCCUACUUGAUUAAUUUCUAAUUACAAAUAAUUGAGGGUUUAACAAAUCUAUCACUCUAUCAGCUUCCAACAACAAAAUCUUGAUAGAAAAACAAGAGAUUAAACAACAAAUACAAGGCUGUAAAGCUACCAACAAAUCAUACCCAUUCCAUCAUUUUGACAAAAAGUGCGAUUCCUUGUGUUUUCCCUUUCUGUUUUUAUUAACAAUCAAUAUAAAUUAACCUCACGCAAUUUGGGGACCAUUUUUUUGGGGGGUAACAAUCAAAUUGAAGCUCCAAGAGGGAAUAUUUAUACGGGACCAGUACAUUGGUAUCUUUACGUCUUUUGUUAAUAGUAUAAUGUUAUGUGAAAAGAAAUUUAUACAUAAUGUUGUAUCACUAGUAUUAAAUGUCACAAUAACAGUGUACCAGUAUCAUCAAUCCUCCAGACAAAUAUACGAGACCCGCCUGUUUAGCUUAUUAGUAUUAUGCACUACAAGCAGUGUUUAAAAUUUCAUCAAUACGUUCGACAGUUUCAUGGAAAUAUCCAAAAAAUCAAAGAAAGAUAUGGAAAUUGGGGGUUGAAGUCUGAACUUUACCUCAUAUUGGAGAAACUCUUAUAUUUCGUCCGAACUAAUAUUUGACAAUUCCUAAAGUUUCAUUUUAAAUUUUUAUCAUUUCCAUCUAAAGCAACUGAUAUCAAUAUUUAAUACAUCCGUUGAUACUUCCACAAAUUUGCAUGUCGAUAUUUCCACAAUACUAAUAUUUUAAACACCGAUUACAAGUAGCUCUUAACAUAUUUGUGAAAAUAGUUUGAUUAUCAUGUGGAUUUAUCAUACUUGCGCAAAAAGAUUAUACAUGCGAGUUUUAGGGUUUGUGGAACCUCCAAUGAAAUUGUUCAAUUAUAAAAAGAGAAAUUUUAUUUGAACCCAUAUAACCUCUUACCUAACUUACUCUCUACACCCAUAUAAUUCUUAAUUAAACUAUUGAUAUCUCUUUAAACCCAAAUUUACUACCUAAAUCACCCUCACAACCCAAUCAAAUAUGUAAAUUUAUCUUUACACCCAUUCAAAAAAUUUAAAACCAUAAAAUUCAUUACACUUUUAAACUUACCGGGUUGACAAUAAGUAAUUGUUGCCAAAGAUUCAUUUGCCCAAUAGAUUAAAAGACUACUUUUGAGUUCCUAUUUCUUCUAAUUUCUUGGUUCAUAGCGCACAACAAUGGCAAUAACUCGUUUCCCCUCGUUGACAACUUUGUUGCUAUUGGUUCAAUACUCUUGUAUAUACAUACCUAUCUUAAAAAUAGGUUCAGUAGCAGGACAAGCCAACUUCAGCACAGACCAGGCUGCUUUUCAAAUCCCCACCUAGGCAACCUGCCACUUCUUGUUGAGUUGGAAUUCAGAAACAACAAUUUUGGUGGUACCUUGCCACCGGAAUUGUCUCAUCUACACAAGUUGAAGUUGAUUAGCUUUAUUUCAACGACUUGAAUCUUUAAAGAAACCCUUCCAAUACAUAUACGUAUCACGUGUGUGUUGGUUUUUUAGGAAUUCUAAUCUUGAUUGGCAGUAAAGAUAAGGGAGUGGCUGUUUGUGCAUGCUAAUGCUCUAAAAGGUCAUAUUCUUGUUGUUGUAUUCAACAUGUCCUCUUUGACAAUUUUGGCUCUAACCCUAAACAAUUUAAGUGGUAGUUUACCAGACAAUAUUUGCCAACAUCUUCCAAGCAUUCGGGGGUUGCAUUUGCCGCACAACCAGUUUGAUGAAGGGUGAACGUAGGAUAAAUACUAUGGAGUGUUUGAUUAUUGUGUGUGUGUUUAUUAAUAAAUUUUAGUUUUAUUGUUUAUUUUAUCUUGUACUUAAUGGUAAUUAUGUUAUAGGGUAAAAAAGACAAUUCACUUUUAAAGUUUAAGUUGGGUGUAGAAAGAGGUUAUAUGGGUUCAAAUAAAAUUUCCCUUAUAAAAAUUGAGUAAGAGAUGAGUUAUGAACUUGGACAAUCCUAGCUUUAGCCUAGUACAUAACUGUGAAUUCGAAAAAUGUAGAAUAUCAUCUCUUUAGAAACAGAAUAAAAAAGAGCUAAUGCAUGGAUGUGAAAGGAAUAUGAACAUAUUGGGCAUUGUUUUAAAUUUACAGAAAUAUAGGGGGUGAUUUUAUAAGAGUACAAAAAAGUUUUCAAUAACAUGUGAAAACAUAAACUAACUAAUUCAAAUUGUCUGACGUGUUCUCACGCGCUUUUACACAGGAGUAAUGAUAUUCAUUAGGGGUGGGCAAACGGGUACAGGAACCACGAGUCGGGGCGGGUACGGGUCGGGUAAUUGAAGUAUUCGAUUCGAGCCGGUUCCAAAAGUAUAGGAACUGCAGGUACCCGGACCGGCCCGUGUGUGU